rnacentral:rRNA from 1 species
GAUGAACGCUAGCUACAGGCUUAACACAUGCAAGUCGCGGGGCAGCAUGAAUUUAGCUUGCUAAAUUUGAUGGCGACCGGCGCACGGGUGAGUAACGCGUAUCCAACCUUCCCUUAUCCACGGGAUAGCCCGUCGAAAGGCGGAUUAAUACCGUAUGAGGUCAUUUGAUGGCAUCUGAUUAUGACGAAAGGUUUGGCGGAUAAGGAUGGGGAUGCGUCCGAUUAGCUUGUUGGCGGGGUAACGGCCCACCAAGGCGACGAUCGGUAGGGGUUCUGAGAGGAAGGUCCCCCACAUUGGAACUGAGACACGGUCCAAACUCCUACGGGAGGCAGCAGUGAGGAAUAUUGGUCAAUGGGCGAGAGCCUUGAACCNGCCAAGUAGCGUGCAGGAUGACGGCCCUAUGGGUUGUAAACUGCUUUUAUGCGGGGAUAAAGUGGGGAUGCAUCCCUUUUUGCAGGUACCGCAUGAAUAAGGACCGGCUAAUUCCGUG